CACGUAGGGCGCAAGCGUUGUCCGGAAUUAUUGGGCGUAAAGAGCUCGUAGGCGGUCUGUUGCGUCCGCUGUGAAAACUCGGGGCUUAACCCCGAGCCUGCAGUGGAUACGGGCAGACUAGAGGUAGGUAGGGGAGAAUGGAAUUCCCGGUGUAGCGGUGAAAUGCGCAGAUAUCGGGAGGGACACCGGUGGCGAAGGCGGUUCUCUAGUACGGUACUGACGCUGAGGAGCGAAAGCGUGGGGAGCGAACAGG
rnacentral:rRNA from 1 species